GGCAUAGUGGCCGAUUGGAAAGGCAGGGGUCUGCAAAACCUCUUAUAGCGGUUCGAUUCCGCUCUUUGCCU
rfam:Blattabacterium sp. (Cryptocercus punctulatus) str. Cpu, complete genome.